rnacentral:misc_RNA from 1 species
UGGUUCUGGCAUCGAUGAAGAACGCAGCGAAAUGCGAUAAGUAAUGUGAAUUGCAGAAUUCAGUGAAUCAUCGAAUCUUUGAACGCACAUUGCGCCCCCUGGCAUUCCGGGGGGCAUGCCCGUUCGAGCGUCAUAUAACACCACUCAAGCCUGGCUUGGUAUUGGGCUUCCGGGACGACUCCGGGCCCCAAAUUCGUCGGCUAUAAAUUAGUAAAUGGGGAGUACUGUAGCAUGGCGCCGUAAAUGUCAACACAUAUGCGCGCGUAGCUCGUGGGCCCCUGCCUUACGCGUUCGCAACACGAGUUUGACCUCGGAUCGGGUAGGAAUACCCGCUGA